GCAGCUUGCUCUGACACCACGUCAAGGGGUGAGAGGGAGAAGCAGGGAGAGUUUGGGGUACAGAGGCAAGCAAGUGAUGUGGGGCUGCUGCAUUGCACCCUCCACAUCAGCAAGACAGUGGUGGGGCUUGCAAAGGAAGGGGCACAGCUGCAGAGAGCAGUGUCACAAUUUGUUUUGGUAGCUGCUGCAUCUCAAAUCUGUGUGCUGGAGUGCUGGUUUUUGCUGCCAAGGCUUGGCUGUGGUCAUGAAGGAGCUUGGGUAGGGCUGGGAUCAGGCUGAGACAUGAAGCUGUGUCCCUCAACAAGCAGGGCUGGGAUAGCAACAUUUCCACUUUCUAAUGAUAAGUCUUAUGAACUCUGGGUAACAGCAAGAUCACUGUGUGGGUGGAUUUAUGUUGAAAUUAACUUAUGUUUAAUCACAUACAGCACAUAGUUGGUUUUCUGUCUACUUUAACAGGGUCUGUUUCCUCCAAGGAUGGUACUUGCCUGGACUUGAACAACAAUUCAGAUUAAGAUCCCAUUGACAAUACCACCCGAUGCACCAGGAAUCUAAAUGACAUGUCCAGAUAUACAGAAGCCAGUAGAGAGAAGGUUAGAUUACAAUUGUUCUCUCAGUAUAUUCAGAAAUUCCUGGACCAAACUCUUCCUCAAUAUAAUUCCACUUGGACUGAUCAGGACGAAUUUAGCCUAGUGAUCCAAAAUCGGAGUCGGAUUCUUUCUCAGAUAAAGCAGAAUAUAUAUUAUGAAACUGAGGAGUAAGAGCAUAACUAAGGGACUCAAAAAACAAAGCCUCUCAUCUUUCUGACUUUAUUAAGGCAAAACUCCAACAGCUGUACCUC